AAUUUUAAUAAAUCUCGUCAAAACAGGAAGUUUACAUGUUGUUAUUCAUCUCAUAAAAAAAUUCAGCUCCAGUCUCGUAUCAAAAUGCCCGAAUCGGAAGGGAAGAUUCCGGGAUUAUUUUGCGUAAGCUAUGAUUUGACGUGAACCAAAAUGUAAUACUGUUAUGACACCUGCAUUAGUUUCAGUGGUUUUUUAGUAUUGUCUAAUGUUUUUCUAUUGGCUUUUGUGCUUCCCUCCAAGUUUUCUUUGUGUUUUUGAUUAAUUUCUUGCUUGGUCUUGGAAGGUGAUGGAAGUGUAGUUUGGUCAGUUUUCAUAUCAGACAUUUAAAAUUGAGACAUACAUUUCCUCUUGCAUGAUAUUGAGUAAUUAUCCUUUUUCUGUUGUGUGUAUGCAGCUUAUAUGCUGUUGUACAGCAUUUGACCCAUUCCCAUUGAAUGGGUUUUGAUGAUGAUCUUAAUAAAGAAAACCGUCUUGUCAAAACUCGAACCAACAGCCUUGUUGUUAUUUGACACACCAUCACAAGUCACAAGUCUGUUACAUACAUAUGCAGGUGAUCCUA